ACACGUAGGGGCCUGACGUUGUUCGGAGUCAUUGGGCGUAAAGGGCGCGCAGGCGGCCGUCCAAGUCCGGUGUUAAAUGGUCGGGCUCAACCCGAUCAUGCGCUGGAAACUGGGCGGCUUGAGUCCCGUAGGGGAUGCCGGAAUUCCAGGUGUAGGGGUGAAAUCUGUAGAUAUCUGGAAGAACACCGAUGGCGAAGGCAGGCAUCUGGCCGGAGACUGACGCUGAGGCGCGAAGGCGCGGGGAGCGAACAGGUUUAGAUACCCUGGUAGUCCGCGCAGUAAACGAUGCGCACCAGGUGUCGGGCGGCAGCGCCCGGUACCGGAGCAAACGCGAUGAGUGCGCCGCCUGGGGAGUAUGCCCGCAAGGGUGAAACUCAAAUGAAUUGGCGGGG
rnacentral:rRNA from 1 species